UACGGAGGGGGCUAGCGUUGUUCGGAAUUACUGGGCGUAAAGCGCACGUAGGCGGCUUUGUAAGUUAGAGGUGAAAGCCCAGGGCUCAACCCUGGAAUUGCCUUUAAGACUGCAUCGCUUGAACAUCGGAGAGGUAAGUGGAAUUCCGAGUGUAGAGGUGAAAUUCGUAGAUAUUCGGAAGAACACCAGUGGCGAAGCGACUUACUGGACGAUUGUUGACGCUGAGGUGCGAAAGCGUGGGGAGCAAACAGG
rnacentral:rRNA from 1 species